UACGUAGGGUGCAAGCGUUGUCCGGAAUUAUUGGGCGUAAAGAGCUCGUAGGCGGUCUGUCGCGUCGGCUGUGAAAUCCCGAGGCUCAACCUCGGGUCUGCAGUCGAUACGGGCAAACUAGAGUAUUGCAGGGGAGACUGGAAUUCCUGGUGUAGCGGUGAAAUGCGCAGAUAUCAGGAGGAACACCGGUGGCGAAGGCGGGUCUCUGGGCCGAAACUGACGCUGAGGAGCGAAAGCGUGGGGAGCGAACAGG
rnacentral:rRNA from 1 species